rnacentral:rRNA from 1 species
AUGGGGCCGAGGAGGAGGUGGAGGAGGAGGAGGAGGAUGAGGAGGAGGUUGGGGAGGGGGAGGCAGGCGAGGAGGAGGGUGGUGGCGGGGAUGAUGGUGCUGGCGGGGAGGGGGUUGACAACAAGGGGUGGCUGCGUGGUAACGCAAAGCUACCAAAGCAGGUUCCUGCUACUGAGGAGCAGAAGUGGCUCAUUGAGCCCACGGGGAAAGAGUAAGUGCCACUUUAUAAUAAGUUCAUUAUUUUGCUUGUCACAUGCUCAUUCCGGUUGUUAUUUAUUUUUCUUGUCACAUGCUAAUAGUUCAUUCUUUUGCAGCAACUGGAUAUAUUCUAAAGGGGUCCGUAUUCCCAACGGCCUCAUCACCGUCUUGCUGAAGUUACACUGGCCGGGGUUGUACUGUCCGGAUCCAGUCAGGCACCCGAACCAUCGGGUCUUGGCCACGAGCUGGGAGCACUGGGAAGCGGCUCUCCACGCGAACCAUGGGACCCAUGCCAAGGCCGUGAUCACCACUUUCUGGAAAUUCUAUCGAGUUCUCCCGGAGCACAGGGCUAGAGCGGACCAGAUCGUGUUGCGCCAAUGCAAGAAGAAGGCCCGCCAGAUGCAGUACGAGGUGCGCUAUGUGGCCAUCUCGACACACCAUCACGACUAUCUUGGUGUGAAGAUGACCAAGGAAGACGCGCGGAGGAUGGGCAUUACCUUGGAGAGGGACGAGUUCUUGAAGGUGUUACCAAAUUGGUGUUAUGGAAAAGACGAGUCCUGGGCGGCAUUGGUGGAUCUUUGGUGUGAUGAGGCUGGAGCCUGGGCGGCUAUCUUCACAAGGCUAACCGAGGGAAGGAGGGAGUACAUGCUCAGGGAAACCGAAACCACUAUCUUCACAAGGCAGUUAAUGAGGAGAAACUGA